CCUCAAUUAACUUACUCAAAGCCUUAAACUCUUAAUUUAAGUGAAGGUAGAUAAUAACUGCCAUUGAGGA
rnacentral:tRNA from 1 species